rnacentral:rRNA from 1 species
AGUGAACGCUGGCGGUAGGCCUAACACAUGCAAGUCGAACGGCAGCACAGUAAGAGCUUGCUCUUACGGGUGGCGAGUGGCGGACGGGUGAGGAAUACAUCGGAAUCUACUUUUUCGUGGGGGAUAACGUAGGGAAACUUACGCUAAUACCGCAUACGACCUACGGGUGAAGGCAGGGGAUCUUCGGACCUUGCGCGAUUGAAUGAGCCGAUGUCGGAUUAGCUAGUUGGCGGGGUAAAGGCCCACCAAGGCGACGAUCCGUAGCUGGUCUGAGAGGAUGAACGGCCAAAGGGGAAAUGAGAAAAGGUCCAGACCCCUGAGGGAGGCAGCAGGGGGGAAUAGGGGACAAUGGGCGCAAGCCUGAUCCAGCAAGCCCGGGGGGGGGAAGAAGGCUGUCGGGUUGUAAAGCCUUUUUGUGGGGAAAGAAAAGCAGCAGGUUAAUACCCCGCUGGUGGGAAGGGACCCAAAGAAUAAGCACCGGCUAAAUUAGGG